rnacentral:rRNA from 1 species
GAUGAACGCUGGCGGCGUGCCUAAUACAUGCAAGUCGAGCGAACAGACGAGGAUCUUGCUCCUCUGACGUUAGCGGCGGACGGGUGAGUAACACGUGGAUAACCUACCUAUAAGACUGGGAUAACUUCGGGAAACCGGAUCUAAUACCGGAUAAUAUAUUGAACCGCAUGGUUCAAUAGUGAAAGACGGUUUUGCUGUCACUUAUAGAUGUAUCCGCGCCGCAUUAGCUAGUUGGUAAGGUAACGGCUUACCAAGGCAACGAUGCGUAGCCGACCUGAGAGGGUGAUCAGCCACACUGGAACUGAGACACGGUCCAGACUCCUACGGGAGGCAGCAGUAGGGAAUCUUCCGCAAUGGGCGAAAGCCUGACGGAGCAACGCCGCGUGAGUGAUGAAGGUCUUCGGAUCGUAAAACUCUGUUAUUAGGGAAGAACAAAUGUGUAAGUAAAUAUGCACGUCUUGACGGUACCUACACAGAAAGCCACGGCUAACUACGUG